GAGAGGGUGACCGGCCACACUGGGACUGAGACACGGCCCAGACUCCUACGGGAGGCAGCAGUGGGGAAUCUUGCGCAAUGGGCGAAAGCCUGACGCAGCGACGCCGCGUGGGGGAUGAAGGCCUUCGGGUUGUAAACCUCUUUCAGCAGGGAAGAAGCGAGAGUGACGGUACCUGCAGAAGAAGCACCGGCUAACUACGUGCCAGCAGCCGCGGUAAUACGUAGGGUGCAAGCGUUGUCCGGAAUUAUUGGGCGUAAAGAGCUCGUAGGUGGCGGGUCACGUCGGGUGUGAAAGCCCGGGGCGUAACCCCGGGUCUGCAUUCGAUACGGGCUUGCUAGGGUCCGGCAGGGGAGACUGGAAUUCCUGGUGUAGCGGUGAAAUGCGCAGAUAUCAGGAGGAACACCGGUGGCGAAGGCGGGUCUCUGGGCCGGUACCGACGCUGAGGAGCGAAAGCGUGGGGAGCGAACAGGAUUAGAUACCCUGGUAGUCCACGCCGUAAACGUUGGGCGCUAGGUGUGGGGAGCAUUCCACGUUCUCUGUGCCGUAGCUAACGCAUUAAGCGCCCCGCCUGGGGAGUACGG
rnacentral:rRNA from 1 species